UCGAGAAUUUUUCACAAUGGGGGAAACCCUGAUGGAGCGACGCCGCGUGGAGGACGAAGGUCUUCGGAUUGUAAACUCCUGUCAUGCGGGAACAAGAAAGUGAUAGUACCGCAAGAGGAAGAGACGGCUAACUCUGUGCCAGCAGCCGCGGUAAUACAGAGGUCUCAAGCGUUGUUCGGAUUCAUUGGGCGUAAAGGGUGCGCAGGCGGCGUGGAAAGUUGAGUGUGAAAUCCCGGGGCUCAACCCCGGAACUGCACUCAAUACUCCCAUGCUAGAGGAAUGUAGAGGAGAGUGGAAUUCACGGUGUAGCAGUGAAAUGCGUAGAUAUCGUGAGGAAGACCAGUUGCGAAGGCGACUCUCUGGGCAUUUCCUGACGCUCAUGCACGAAGGCCAGGGGAGCAAACG
rnacentral:rRNA from 1 species